AACGCUGGCGGCGUGCUUAACACAUGCAAGUCGAACGGAAAGGCCCUGCUUGCAGGGUACUCGAGUGGCGAACGGGUGAGUAACACGUGGGUGAUCUGCCCUGCACUUCGGGAUAAGCCUGGGAAACUGGGUCUAAUACCGGAUAGGAGCCAUUUUUAGUGUGAUGGUUGGAAAGUUUUUUCGGUGUAGGAUGAGCUCGCGGCCUAUCAGCUUGUUGGUGGGGUAAUGGCCUACCAAGGCGGCGACGGGUAGCCGGCCUGAGAGGGUGGACGGCCACAUUGGGACUGAGAUACGGCCCAGACUCCUACGGGAGGCAGCAGUGGGGAAUAUUGCACAAUGGGCGCAAGCCUGAUGCAGCGACGCCGCGUGGGGGAUGACGGCCUUCGGGUUGUAAACUCCUUUCGCUAGGGACGAAGCUUUUUGUGACGGUACCUAGAUAAGAAGCACCGGCUAACUACGUG
rnacentral:rRNA from 1 species